UAGCCUAGUGGUUAAGGCUAUGGAUUGCCAAUCCGGAGACGGCGGGUUCGAAUACCGU
rnacentral:tRNA from 1 species